rnacentral:rRNA from 1 species
GACAGAGGGUGCAAACGUUGUUCGGAAUUACUGGGCGUAAAGCGCGUGUAGGCUGCUUGGAAAGUCGGAUGUGAAAGCCCUGGGCUCAACCUAGGAAGUGCAUUCGAAACUUCGAAGCUUGAGUUCUGGAGAGGAAGGCGGAAUUCUCGGUGUAGAGGUGAAAUUCGUAGAUAUCGAGAGGAACACCGGUGGCGAAGGCGGCCUUCUGGACAGUGACUGACGCUGAGACGCGAAAGCGUGGGGAGCAAACAGG